AAUAGGUCCAGUCUAAUUCUGCAUCAUGGUUUAUUUAUGUAGACUCGCUUUUGGACCAGAUUAAUCCUUAUCCUUUAUUAUCCUUGUGCUUGUAAUAGCAUUUCAGUUCAAUGCACACGAGAAACGUAAAAGAACAAUA